rnacentral:lncRNA from 1 species
GUGGGGGAGAGGCCCCUCAGCGGUGGCGGAGCGGGGGCUCUCGCCCAUCUUAAACCCCCAAAAAUUCCCUAAAAAUUCCAGAAAAAAUUCAAAAUAAACGAAGGGAUGGAUUGAGGCCCCUCCCCCACCUUGGAUGGACCCCUGGAAUUUGGGGGGAUCCCAAAAUGGGGGAUUGGGAAAAUCCCGGGAAUCCCCCCAAGGACCAGGAGGAGGAAGAGGAGGAGGAGGAGGAGGAGGAAGAGCUGGACCCCCGGAUCCAGGAGGAGCUGGAGCACCUGAACGAGGCCAACGCUGAAAUCAACCGGGGGGAGCUGGAGCUGGAUGUGAGCUCCCAGUUUGUCCCAGUUUGUCCCAGUUCGUCCCAGUUCGUCCCAGUUCGUCACAGUUUGUCCCAGUUUGUCCCAGUUUGUCCCUGUUUGUCCCAGUUCAUCCCAGUUUGUCCCAGUUCAUCCCAGUUCCCAUCCCAGUCCAUCCCAGUUUGUCCCAGUUCCCAUCCCAGUUCCCAUCCCACUCCAUCCCAGUCCAUCCCAGUUUGUCCCAGUUCAUCCCAGUCCAUCCCAGUUCAUCCCAGUUCAUCCCAGUCCGUCACAGUUUGUCCCAGUUCAUCUCAGUUUGUCCCAGUUCCCAUCCCAGUUCCCAUCCCAGUUCCCAUCCCAGUCCGUCCCAGUCCAUCCCAGUUCAUCCCAGUCCGUCCCAGUUCAUCCCAGUCCGUCCCAGUCCGUCCCAGUUCAUCCCAGUUUGUCCCCGUUUGUCCCAGUUUGUCCCACUUCCCAUCCCAGUUCCCAUCCCAGUUCAUCCCAGCUCAUCCCAGUUCAUCCCAGUUCAUCCCAGUUCCCAUCCCAGUUAAUCCCAGUUCCCAUCUCAGUUCAUCCCAGUCCAUCCCAGUCCAUCCCAGUUCAUCCCAGUUUUCCCAGUCUGUCCCAGUCCAAACCAAUCCCAAACUGGUUUUCCCCAUCCCUGACUGGUUUUCCCAGUCCAAACCAGUCCCAAACUCCUCUCCCAGUCUGUCCCAGUCCAAACCAGUCCAAACCAGUCCCAAACUGGUUUUCCCAAUCCAAACCAGUCCCAAACUGGUUUUCCCAAUCCCUGACUCCUCUCCCAGUGCAAACCAGUCCAAACCAGUCCCAAACUGGUUUUCCCAAUCCGUCCCAGUCCAAACCAGUCCUAAACUGGUUUUCCCAGUCCAAACCAGUCCCAAUCUGGUUUUCCCAAUCCCUGAUUGGUUUUUCCAGUCCAAACCAGUCCAAACCAGUCCCAAACUGGUUUUCCCAAUCCGUCCCAGUCCAAACCAGUCCCAAACUGGUUUUCCCAGUCCCAAAUUCCUGUCCCAG